rnacentral:tRNA from 1 species
GCCUGGGUGGCUCAGUUGGUUGGGCAUCUGACUUCAGCUCAGGUCAUGAUCUCACAGUCUGUGAGUUCAAGCCCCAUGUCGGGCU